UGAGGAAUGAUAGGGAAAAUCUCUUUUGGCAGAGAGGAGUAAAAAUCUUAAACAGGAAUGUUUCUGGUUUGCCAAAGGAGAUUUGCCCUGCCAUUUUUGA
rnacentral:pre_miRNA from 1 species